CAUGCAUGUCUCAGUACGAGCCGUAUUAAGGUGAAACCGCGAAAGGCUCAUUAAAUCAGUUAUGGUUCCUUAGAUCGUACCCACAUUUACUUGGAUAACUGUGGUAAUUCUAGAGCUAAUACAUGCAAACAGAGCUCCGACCGGAGACGGAAGGAGCGCUUUUAUUAGAUCAAAACCAAUCGGUGACGGGUUCGCCCGUUAUCGUACACCUUGGUGACUCUGAAUAACUUUAUGCUGAUCGCACGGUCUCGCACCGGCGACGCAUCUUUCAAAUGUCUGCCUUAUCAACUGUCGAUGGUAGGCUCUGCGCCUACCAUGGUUGUAACGGGUAACGGGGAAUCAGGGUUCGAUUCCGGAGAGGGAGCCUGAGAAACGGCUACCACAUCCAAGGAAGGCAGCAGGCGCGCAAAUUACCCACUCCCGGCACGGGGAGGUAGUGACGAAAAAUAACGAUACGGGACUCAUCCGAGGCCCCGUAAUCGGAAUGAGUACACUCUAAACCCUUUAACGAGGAUCAAUUGGAGGGCAAGUCUGGUGCCAGCAGCCGCGGUAAUUCCAGCUCCAAUAGCGUAUAUUAAAGUUGUUGCGGUUAAAAAGCUCGUAGUCGAACUUGUGUCCCGCGCCGCCGGUUCAUCGCUCGCGGUGUUUAACUGGCGUGUCCGCGGGACGUCCUGCCGGUGGACUUAGUCCUUUCGGGGGCGGUCCAACUUCAAAUCCCACCGCGGUGCUCUUUACCGAGUGUCGAGGUGGGCCGGCACGUUUACUUUGAACAAAUUAGAGUGCUUAAAGCAGGCUAAAACUUUGCCUGAAUACUGUGUGCAUGGAAUAAUGGAAUAGGACCUCGGUUCUAUUUUGUUGGUUUUCGGAACUCCGAGGUAAUGAUUAAUAGGAACGGAUGGGGGCAUUCGUAUUGCGACGUUAGAGGUGAAAUUCUUGGAUCGUCGCAAGACGGACAGAAGCGAAAGCAUUUGCCAAAAACGCUUUCAUUGAUCAAGAACGAAAGUUAGAGGUUCGAAGGCGAUCAGAUACCGCCCUAGUUCUAACCAUAAACGAUGCCAGCUAGCGAUCCGCCGACGUUCCUCCGAUGACUCGGCGGGCAGCUUCCGGGAAACCAAAGCUUUUGGGUUCCGGGG
rnacentral:rRNA from 1 species